rnacentral:rRNA from 1 species
CCUACGGGUGGCAGCAGUGAGGAAUAUUGGUCAAUGGACGAGAGUCUGAACCAGCCAAGUAGCGUGAAGGAUGACUGCCCUAUGGGUUGUAAACUUCUUUUAUAUGGGAAUAAAAUGUUCCACGUGUGGGAUUUUGUAUGUACCCUUUGAAUAAGGCAUGGCCAACUCCGGGCCAGCAGCCGCGGUAAUUCGGAGGAUCCGAGUGUUUUCCGGAUUUAUUGGGGUUAAAGGGAGCGUAGGUGGAUUGUUAAGUCAGUUGUGAAAGUUUGCGGCUCAACCGUAAUAUUGCAGUUGAAACUGGCAGUCUUGAGUACGGUAGAGGUGGGCGGAAUGCGUGGUGUAGCGGUGAAAUGCUUAGAUAUCACGAAGAACUCCGAUUGCGAAGGCAGCACACUGGACUGCAACUGACACUGAGGCUCGAAAGUGUGGGUAUCAAACAGGAUUAGAUACCCUUGUAGUC